rnacentral:rRNA from 1 species
AUACGUAGGGAGCGAGCGUUGUCCGGAAUUACUGGGUGUAAAGGGUGCGUAGGCGGGUAUGCAAGUCAUAUGUGAAAUACCGGGGCUCAACUCCGGAACUGCAUAAGAAACUGUAUAUCUUGAGUGCAGAAGAGGUAAGCGGUAUUCCUAGUGUAGCGGUGAAAUGCGUAGAUAUUAGGAGGAACACCAGUGGCGAAGGCGGCUUACUGGGCUGUAACUGACGCUGAGGCACGAAAGCGUGGGGAGCAAACAGGAUUAGAUACCCUGGUAGUCCACGCUGUAAACGAUGGAUACUAGGUGUAGGGGGUAUCGACCCCUCCUGUGCCGGAGUUAACACAAUAAGUAUCCCACCUGGGGAGUACGACCGCAAGGUUGAAACUCAAAGGAAUUGACGGGG